GAGUUCAGUUGCGGGCAGAACCAAACUAUCCCUUGGAGCGGAAAACUGCAACUUUGAAACCUGCUUCGCUGUGUUUUCUAAAUGUGAUGUUCUUUCCCUCAGUCACAGUCCAGGGACAACACACCUUUCAUAGUGAGUGUCCAGAAAAGUAAGUGGGACAUUUCACGCUCCAUGAGGUACAACCAGGACGCUCAGAGGGAGGAAGACCAGCGUCGCAUGGAGGAGAUCAUCGGCUACCUGACCAAGAUGAGGUUUGGAGAGCAGGAGCAGAGCAGAUCUAAAGACCCUAAAGAAGCAAGUACCUGUUCACAAGCACAGGACUUUGGAAAUAUAAUGAAAUGAUUGGUGUAGAGCUGUCAGCCCUGCUGCCCUAGUUUGUACAGCUGCCUGACGCCAGAUUGUGUG